UAUUGCACAAUGAGGGAAACCCUGAUGCAGCGACGCCGCGUGAGUGAAGAAGUAUUUCGGUAUGUAAAGAUCUAUCAGCAGGGAAGAAANUGACGGUACCUGAUUAAGAAGCACCGGCUAACUACGCGCCAGCAGCCGCGGCAAUACGUAGGGGGCAAGCGUUAUCCGGAUUUACUGGGGGUAAAGGGAGCGUAGACGGCAGCACAAGUCUGGAGUGAAAUGCCGGGGCUUAACCCCGGAACUGCUUUGGAAACUGUGCAGCUAGAGUGCAGGAGAGGUAAGUGGAAUUCCUAGUGUAGCGGUGAAAUGCGUAGAUAUUAGGAGGAACACCAGUGGCGAAGGCGACUUACUGGACUGUAACUGACGUUGAGGCACGAAAGUGUGGGGAGCAAACAG
rnacentral:rRNA from 1 species